UUAUAAUAAUGUAACAGCUAUGAAUCUAAUACAAAUGCGUUGGGGAUUUAUUUUAAAGCAUGAUAGUGUUUAGUUGAGAAAUCCUUUUGAAAAGUUGGUAUUAUUUUGACUCAAAAACAGCUCGGAUACUUUCUUACUUUCAAAUACGAGGAAAAUCUAACGUAAGCAUGCACCUAAUGUUUGUGUUGGUGUUUUUCUGUGUGCAAAGAAUCCAUGGGCAAGCAUGACGAACUUCCCAUCGGGACUGACGUCACUGAUUUUGACAGGUUCACAGUUUAUGCCUUGUCCACACAGGUUCUUGAUGAUGGUAAUUUCAGUUUCUACAAGAGACAUAAGCAGGUA